rnacentral:rRNA from 1 species
UACGGGAGGCAGCAGUGGGGAAUAUUGCACAAUGGGCGCAAGCCUGAUGCAGCCAUGCCGCGUGUAUGAAGAAGGCCUUCGGGUUGUAAAGUACUUUCAGUCGUGAGGAAGGUGUUAAGGUUAAUAACCUUAGCAAUUGACGUUAGCGACAGAAGAAGCACCGGCUAACUCCGUGCCAGCAGCCGCGGUAAUACGGAGGGUGCGAGCGUUAAUCGGAAUUACUGGGCGUAAAGGGCACGCAGGCGGUUAAUUAAGUUGGAUGUGAAAUCCCCGGGCUUAACCUGGGAAUGGCAUUCAAGACUGGUUAGCUAGAGUCUUGUAGAGGGGGUAGAAUUCCAUGUGUAGCGGUGAAAUGCGUAGAGAUGUGGAGGAAUACCGGGUGGCGAAGGCGGCCCCUGGGACAAAGACUGACGCUCAUGUGCGAAAGCGUGGGGAGCAAACAGGGAUUAGAUACC